rnacentral:misc_RNA from 1 species
AAAAAAAAUUGGCCAUGUUGUUCUCUGUUUGUUUCCUCUUGAGCCCAGAUUACCAACUACCCCUUUCCUUCCUUCCUAAAAUCAUCAUAUACCAGUUAAUAUUCUUUUUUGCGUUUUAUUUAUAACCUCAAAACUGUUUUUACAUAGCAACACUCCUAGCCUUGCUCCCAAUACUUGGCUUCAAUGUACCCAUUCCUUCAAUCCCUUUGUUUAUAUGUCUCCACAGUUUCUCAAAGCAGCCAGCUUUCUUCUCUUCGGUUUUCAGGAAGGACCCGAUUCGAUCAAGCCCGUCUCUCUUGAUUUUGACGGCAGUUCAUGCACGUAUGACUUUCAACAGCGCCACUUCACCAUCGACUGCUGUGGUUUGUUUAAAUCUCUAUUGAUUCUUGAUGUUUGGUUAUUUGGAUGUGGAUUGAUAUUUUAUAAAUGAUGUUUUCCUUCUUCAACAAUGCGCAUGCUUUCUAGUAGUGAGUGAUCAUCGAUGACAAUGACUGAGGCUUCCUGUUUGGGUCUUGACAAAGAGUAUGACGAAGUGUGCACACCAGGGUUUAGAUUCCACCCAAGGGAUGAGGAGCUGGUUCUUUUAUACUUGAAGAGGAAAAUCUGCAAGAAAUGGCUACUGAAAGAUAUCAUCCGUGCGGUUGAUGUCUACUAGAGGGAUCCUGAGGAAUUACCUGGUAUAGUACUUUAAUGUUUUUGGCUAAUAUUGAUUUUUCCCUUUUUAUGGUGUACGUUGAUUUGGUUUUUUCCCUGUUUGAGUUAUGUAGCCUUUUCAUUCUGGUUUGUUUCGUUUUCUUGUUUGGUAUGGUAUUGAUUUGACCAGAUAGUAAUUGAUUUAUGUUCUCAACCAAAAUUGUUUUUCCCCCACAUGGAGCAUGAAUAAUUAGUAAUUAAUUGUGUUGACUUCAAUUGCUAGAUAUGAUUAUCAUUUUUUUUUAUUUGAUUGGAUAUUAAGCUCUCUGUGGUCAUUUCUGUGGGGAAAAAAAAGCCGUGUUUUUGCUUUAUUUCACAAAGACUCUAGCGCAAUAACAUAGCUCUUAGUUGAAUUGUGCUAUCCAUUCAUUUGGGUUUUUGGUGGAUUUGCUUUAUUUGUUCAUAUCAUUGAUGGGUUCAGGCACCCUGGAUUCUAGUUUUAUCAUAAAAAUGUUUGUUUGGUUGUUGUAUUGAAUAUUUAAGUGAUGUUGCUGUAUUGUUAAUGUAUUUUUGGUUUGUGAUGACCUGGGUAUGUGUUGUACUAACUACUAACAUUGACUUAGUAUUUGGGUUGAAUGAAUAAUGUUAAUAAAACAGUUUCGCUUAGCCUGCUGGUUUUGGGUAUGUGCAGAGAUUUGCUUUAUUAAUUGGUUUUGUGCAUUCAAUGUGAUGAUUGGUUUUGAUGUUACAACGGAUUUUGUUUUCAUGUAAGAAUUAUGGAAAUAAUUUUCAUGUUCAAUUGUUUCUAGUAAUCAUAUGUCACUAAAAAAUGAACUAUAUUUUCUGGGCAAUCCAUAUUGAAGACAAGAGAUAGACAAUAGUUCUUCUUCUGUCCAAGGGAUAGGAAGUAUCCUA